CACAAAGAGAGUCGGAAAGAUUGUACAGUAUGAAAGAGAAGUGUAUCAGUUACUCGUACACAAAGAGAGAGUCAGAAAGAUUGUACAGUACAAAAAAGAAGUGAACCAGUUAUUCGUACAGAAAGAGAGAGUCAGAAAGAUUGUACAGUAUGAAAGAGAAGUGCACCAAUUACUCGUAUUCAAAGGGAGGGUCAGAAAGAUACAUUAGUACACUACAAAAGAGAAUUGACGUCAGAUU